UAGCUGACAGGAGCUUGACUUCUUUCUCUUCCCCACAGAAAAAGUUGUAUAUCAGAAGUGGAUUUUGUUCCAAAAUAGAACUACACACUGGAAAAAAAAUAAAAAAUAAUAAUAAUAAUAAAAUACUUUUUUAUAACAGAACAAUCUGAAAUGUUCUGAGCAGCUGAAGAGCCAGACAAGGCCAGAGACCUGGCAGUCAUGAAUGGAGAGUGAGCAAUCAUGGAGAAGUCUUACAGUCAAUGUUACAAGCAGGAAAAGAGAAUUUUAGUGGAAAAGUCACUUAUGUCUCAGUGAGUAAACGGUCAGAAAAAAUAAGCCUACUAUAAUUAAACCUUAAUUUCACCUUGAUUGAUCAAGGUAAAGUGCCUUGAGGACAUGCAAGUGAUGAAAAACAAGUUCCAACUCAUAAUCAGAAGGAUAGCAGCAGAAGGAAAGCAUGGUGUUGUGUGCUGGAUCUUGGUAUGUAAUGCACCCUAAUAAGAUUUUCAAAAUACAAGUGUUUGAGGAACCCCAAGAAGCCUGUUUGAAACUCAUUUUUCUUAUAUGCUAAUGCCUGAAGUCAGGGGACUGGUGGAAAAUUGAGGUCAGUUUUUUCACCCCAGCUAAAAUUUACAUACCUAUGUUUCAGAAGGAAAACAACAGGAACAAAAAUGAUAGCUAAAAUGCCAGGUUUUUGUGAACUGCAAAUAUCUGAGCACAAAUUUGCACUGAUUUAUACUGCUGACUCUUGCUCAUAAAUACUCCUGACUUGAAAGACUCUUCAUGUAAGAAUGCCUAACAACUCCCCCUUCCUCUCUGCAAAACAAAACUGGCAGGAAAUUCCAGCUUCCCAAGAAGUCAAGCUCCUGAAAUGAAAGCUACCAUUCAGAAGAAGCUGUAUGAGGAAACCAAGGAUUAGUUGCUUGAGGGGAAAGAAGGAAAAAAGAACCUCAAACCAAAACAAUGUAAUCAUUGAAAGAAAUAAAGAGGAGCACAAUGGGUCCACACAAGGUAAGUGGACAUUCUUCUAGGAAUCCCAGCCUCUAGGUUAGGUCUGUCCUGGAGUAAGCUGACACCUUACC
rnacentral:lncRNA from 1 species